GUAGAAUUAGACGUUGUCAUAUGACAAUUUCUUCAUGAACUUAUCGACUCUUCAUCAAUGAAGGUCCGGGCGACAGAAAGUGAAGCCGAAGAAGGAACGACUCCACGCCAGCUUUAAGAACGUUUAAGGUGGGCAUUAUUUUAUUAUUACGUAUAUAGAGAUCCCCUGCGUGACGUAGGCCUCAUAUGCGAAUAUAUAUGCAUGAUAUGUUUUGACUAUUUAUUCAGUUCUUAUGAAAUGCUUAUAUGUUUAAUGCCCUUUAUGAAAAUGAAAAUGUUAUGAAAAUGAAAUGUUUAUGAAAUGAUUGACUGCCAAAAAUGUUUAUGUUUUUAUAUGUAUCAUAUCUGUGUUGGUUCGCCAACUUUAAAGGAAAUCCAAUUGGGAUCCUAUGCUAGACAAAGGUCGCUAGCUAGGGUUAACGUGUACACUCAUGGAGACCGCGAGUCGCUUGCGACCGGUCUUGGCGUCCGUGGUAAGGAGGCCUCCUUCCCGGCGCGUGACUGUAAGGACAGAUAUGGAUCAUAUAGACUGAAAAUGGGAUGGCCAUCCAACUUUAUGAAAAUGACAGAAAUGUUUUAGUAAGCGCAGGUCAUUUAAGAAAACCCCUGUGUGUUACUGUUAUGGCAGUUCAAUUUAUAUAUGUAUGCAUGUUUGUUUUUCGGCUUAUGCCACUGAGUAUUUUUAUACUCAGCCCUGCAUGUAUUUCUAAAUGUGCAGGUUGAGCAGGCGAUGGAAUGGUUUGGUGUUGAGCGGGAAUUCUUUUGAAGGAUAUGUAAUGAAACCUUGAGUAUGCAUCUCCAUAUGCAUAACUCACACGUUUUUCCGCUGCAAACACU
rnacentral:lncRNA from 1 species